GCCACUGUAGCUCAGGGGUAGAGCACUCGAUUCGUAAUCGAGCGGUCGUCAGUUCAAAUCUGACCAGUGGCU
rnacentral:tRNA from 2 species